UAAUCAAGCAGGUGCAUUAAAACCAGUUUCCUUCAGCUGGUUGCAGGCAAGGAAGUCAGAGAGGUGUAUCCCAGCAGGCUUGGAAGGAAGCAAACGUCCGUGCUGUGAAGUGCCUGUGGGAGCCACCCGGCAAGGAGCUGGGCUGAGAGCAGUUCCCAGCAGAGAGCCAGCAGACCCAGCGUCAUGCGCUCCAUGGGCUUUAUCCUUUCCAGCGUUCACAACCCUGGCACAACACAACUCUUUGGACCUCUUUUGUGCCAAAGAGGGAAAUGAAGUAACUUGUCCAAGGUCACGGUGUAAGUGGUGGAACCAGGGUGAAAACCUAGGUCUGUCCAUCUCCAAACAGCUCACAUGCUGCUUGUCGGUAGCCACAGCUAAGGGAUGCCUGGGGCGGUGGCCGCCCCCAGCCUGCCCACUGCUGUGUCCUGGCCGGCACCCAGCUGCCCCAGUGCCUUGUCUCUGUGCCCGAGGGCUGAUGCUCCCGUUUGAUUGAGGUAUCACUGACAAAUAAAAAUUGUAUGCGCUUAA